ACCGCCAAAGUUGAGAACCAUUGCGUAGUUAGGGCCACCUACCCUUGACCAAUGGUGGUUAGAACUGGUGGAUAAAUACAUCUCUUGGGGGAGAAUGCUCAGCACAUUCUAUGAAAACAACUCAGUGUCCCAGUGGGAUUGAGCCUUUGUUACCCACAGUGGUGAUCAGUUAGAUAACGCACCAUUGAAUUAUCUUCCCUCAUUCUCUAUUUCGCUCUUCCAAGACCCACACUCCUGUUCCUGGGAUUAAUUACAAACUGAACUGUGUGCACUCAGCCACUUAUCUCAGGCUGCUUUUGAGAAGGAACCCAGGCUAACGUAGGCAGAAAAGCGUAGAGCUUAUAUCUGGCCCUCAUUUCCUGGUCCUCAUGGGAGCGUACGAAGGAAGGAAGUAUUUGCUCCCCGUGGAACUGUCUCACACGAAGUUGGAGGCUGACAAGUCCCAAGAUCUGCAGUUGGCAAGUUGGAGGAACAAGAGACCCAAUGGUAUCGUUUCAGUCUGUGUUGAGGGCCCGAGACCCAGGAGAGCCGAUGGUGAAACCUUGGGAGUUGCUCAGGGCUUGGACACUCGGAGAGCAGUCAACCAUCGACUGACAGGAAGUCCACCUGUAACCAGCAGUAAGUUUCAGACAAGUUUGCUGUCUGAGAGCCAGCAGUUCCUGUCCCUGUGCUCAGACCAGAGAGUUCAUACUUAUGCGGACACUGCAGGGGCUCUGGGGACAGAGGAGCAAAAUUCAAAAACCAAAAAAAGCUUACUGAGAAAAGAAGGAUUGUUUUACAUUUGGAAAUCUCUUUAAUGUGUGACUUCAUAGAUGUCUGGAUUCUCCUGUUUCUGCAUUCAAUCUGUUGUGACACUCUACAGCAUGAAGCUUCUGGAAAACUCCAAUGUGUUUGUGAGAGAAUGAGAGUGAAAAUGGCAAAUGACAUUUUAAUAUUAUUAUGAAAGUAGUUUGGCCUCGUAUAGCUGUUACCACACAAAAUUGGGGUUCUCUGCCUGACGUGCAUGAAAAAACACAGUUAAUUAUGCUUUUGGGAAAAGAAAUCAGCUUCAUUCUGUGAGAUGGAUCUGCAGAGAGAACAGGGGGCAUGUGCCCUCAGAUCUGUCUCCUUGAUUCAGGAUUUGGGGUGAAAUUUGAGAGGUUAGGGAGAACAGGCUGGCACGUGGAAAUGCUGCUGGGGCAGGUUUUGUUCGGUGGGCUCCAAGGAUUUAUGGUAAGGUUUUAAACGUUUGUGACAGGUUCUAAACUUCUAUGAUGGGGUUCUAAACAUUUUUGACAAGGUGAGGAAGGAAUUUCAACACUGGAUCUUCCUGAAUGAGGGACCCCUCACUUCCAAUAAGAGUCUGACUUUCAAGUUCCAGUCAUGUCCUUCCUUGGGUUCUGUGGGAAGGAGAAUCUUGGGUUCUGGGGUCAUUUCAGGUCAAGAUUUCUCCUUUUGCACAUGCCCUGGCUACGUGACUUUGCCGAUUUUCUCAAAGGCAAUUCUUAAUUACUCUGUUGAUAAGAGAUGGAGUCUGUUGAAUUGGUCCUGGAGGGCCUGCGAUUGCAUAACUGCUGACAGGCUCUCAAGGUCUCUGAGGCAUCCAGGGCCUGCGCUUUGAGAAUUGAUGGUCUGGGUCCUUUCUGAGCUAAUUCUUUGAGCUAGCCCAGCGAGCAACGGGCGGCUGAGCACCUGCCCUCCCCCACCCCCUCAUCUCUUUUAGCCUUUCCCAAACAAUUCAUUCUUUUGAAUUAAGGCAUUAUUUUCUAUCAAAGUGCAAAUACCAGUGGGAGAGAUAACACAUUACGCUGUUACCAGCUGUCAAUUCCUUCGGGUGACCAAACCUAAUUCAUUUUAACUUGAGAGUCCAUGAGAACAGAAAAGAGAUGAAACAGAAAGAAGAAGGGCCAGAAAUUGGGUGUGGAAGGACCCCUCUCCCCAGCUCAGUGUCAACUUUUUCUAUUUCACAGCAGGGCCUAGGAGAAGCCUGGUUUCUGGAUACUUAGCUCACAGCUAUGACGAGAAGCCAUUCCCUAAUCUGUUUUAAUUGCUUAUUCUCAAGAGCUACCUGAGUUAUAGUACCCCUGUGGCCACUAACAUCCAAUUUCGGACUCAUUGAUCCAGGAAAUGGAAAGAGUUACAACUACUAAUAAAAAGCCAAUCAAAACAAAAGCCACUAAUUUCUGUGGAGAAGUAUUUUUAUCGAUAACCGUGCAGGAAGCUCUUUAUUAAUCUAUCUUCAUGGGGCUGGCCCCAUGGCCAAGUGGUUAAGUUUGCGUGCUCCAAUUUGGCGGCCCAAGGUUUCGGUGGUUUGGAUCCUGGGUGCAGACAUGUCAUCGCUCGUCAGGCCACGCUGGGGCAGCAUCCCAAAUGCCACAGCUAGAAAGACCCACAACUAAAAUAU
rnacentral:lncRNA from 1 species